UAAACUUUAAAUGCAACCCUCCCCUGCUAAUUCAAAAGGAAAGGGAUUAACUUAGAGCACCAUGCUUGCUGGUUUAUAUGGAAGAUAACUGGUAGCUGAAAGGUAAUGAUUUCUACACGUUACUGCUAUCCUCUUCUUAAAUGAACAUAACCACAAUAACAUGAUACUGUUUCUGGUUUUUUUUUUUUAGCAGGAUGACUUAGGCUUUGAAUGGGUCCUAUGGGUGCCGCCCUGUCGGGGACACACAGGAGGCGGCGGCCGGCCGCCAGGUGGCGCUGCGGGGUCGGGCCAGUCCGGGCGCGGCGUCUCUCCCUAGCGGCGCCCCCUCUCGGCCGCUCUCGGCGCAUUCCCCGCGGCGCUCCGGUCCCUGCUCCGCUGCUCCCGAGAGCGCUCCGCUGCAGCCGCCACACUCCUGAGGCCGAGGGCAGCCCUGCCUGGACCUCUCCCCAGCGCUCCGGUCCCGGAGGAAGGAAAAGGAAGAGAGACAUUUUCUCUCUUUUUAUUUAUUUGGUUUUUUUUCCCCUUUGGUGAACUCAGUGAAGUUCGGACAACUGGCCGUCUUCCUCCCCGCUGCCGGAGGGGGAAACCUCUGUGGCGGAGGGGUACGGAGGGGGGAAAACAACAACAACAACAGCGAAAACCUUAACCCGACACAGCUCUUACACCCACAGCCCCUCAACCGCUUCGAGUCCUGGUAGCCGUCAUCUGCGGGUACCAGUGCCAGUCAGCUCCUCCGAGCAGCAGGGGAAGCUCCGUGCCCUCAUUAGGCGGUGCCGCCGGGCAGCAGCCGAGAUUCCCUGCUCCCCGGCGUAGGUCUCGGAGGAGGCAAAGCAGAGGGAGGAUCCGCUAGGAUCCAGGUAGAUCCAGCUUUUACCGCUUACCGAAAGCUACCACCAGCAGGACCUCCGUCUCCUCCCUCCCUCCUCCCCUAACUCCCCCCCUCCCCUGCCCCUCCGCGAUGAGAGACGGGCCAAGUCCGUGCGCGCCAGCAGCGCUCGCUGCCAGGGGCGGACGGAUCGCUUUCAUGUCACAGGGUGUCUGCUAGCCCUGCGGAGGCUCCCCCGGCCGGGCCGGGGUGGGGCGGCGGCGGGUGGCAGCUGCCCCGAGGCCGGGGUGACUGCCGGCCUCGCGGAAUGCUGGCGGCGGGGGAUGCGGAGCCGGCUGUGGACUAACAUGGGGGGCAGCCACUCCCACAGGGCGCCCGUGUUCGACGAGAACGAGGACGGUGAGUGUGGAGCUGUCCAAGGUACCCGCCGCGCCCGCGAGCCCCGUAGUUCCCGACGCUGGCUCAGCCCCGGGGCCGCAGGCAGCAGCUCGCCCUCAGCCAGGUGUCAGCAGCUUCCUCAGUACCCCCGGGGAGGUAUUUUGGAUAGAUUCUCCAUCCGGCUGCUUUCUGUGGGGUAGGGUCCCUGGGGAAGGAGGAGGACAAGCCCACCUUUGUCUAGCUGUUCUCACUAAUUACGUAGUUCUUUGCUUUUAUACAAGCUAAACCGAAGUCUAGGACACCGCCGCUUGGGUUUUAAACACAUGG
rnacentral:lncRNA from 1 species